GGUGCUUGCAUCAUGAUUUACAUUUGAGUGAGUGGCGAACUGGUGAGUAACACGUGGGAAACCUGCCCAGAAGCGGGGGAUAACACCUGGAAACAGAUGCUAAUACCGCAUAACAACUUGGACCGCAUGGUCCGAGUUUGAAAGAUGGCUUCGGCUAUCACUUUUGGAUGGUCCCGCGGCGUAUUAGCUAGAUGGUGGGGUAACGGCUCACCAUGGCAAUGAUACGUAGCCGACCUGAGAGGGUAAUCGGCCACAUUGGGACUGAGACACGGCCCAAACUCCUACGGGAGGCAGCAGUAGGGAAUCUUCCACAAUGGACGAAAGUCUGAUGGAGCAACGCCGCGUGAGUGAAGAAGGGUUUCGGCUCGUAAAACUCUGUUGUUAAAGAAGAACAUAUCUGAGAGUAACUGUUCAGGUAUUGACGGUAUUUAACCAGAAAGCCACGGCUAACUACGUGCCAGCAGCCGCGGUAAUACGUAGGUGGCAAGCGUUGUCCGGAUUUAUUGGGCGUAAAGCGAGCGCAGGCGGUUUUUUAAGUCUGAUGUGAAAGCCUUCGGCUCAACCGAAGAAGUGCAUCGGAAACUGGGAAACUUGAGUGCAGAAGAGGACAGUGGAACUCCAUGUGUAGCGGUGAAAUGCGUAGAUAUAUGGAAGAACACCAGUGGCGAAGGCGGCUGUCUGGUCUGUAACUGACGCUGAGGCUCGAAAGUAUGGGUAGCAAACAGGAUUAGAUACCCUGGUAGUCCAUAC
rnacentral:rRNA from 1 species